rnacentral:rRNA from 1 species
AUACGUAGGGGACGAGCGUUGUCCGGAAUUACUGGGCGUAAAGGGCGCGCAGGCGGAUAUUUAAGUCAGCUGUAAAAGGCAUGAGCUCAACUCAUGUAUGCGGUUGAAACUGGGUAUCUAGAGUGCUGGAGAGGUAGGCGGAAUUCCCGGGGUAGCGGGGAAAUGCGUAGAUAUCGGGAAGAACACCAGUGGCGAAGGCGGCUUACUGGCCAGCAACUGACGCUGAGGCGCGAAAGCCAGGGGAGCGAACGGGAUUAGAUACCCCGGUAGUCCUGGCCGUAAACGAUGAAUGCUAGGUGUGGGUGUCGAGAGGCAUCCGUGCCGGAGUUAACGCGAUAAGCAUUCCGCCUGGGGAGUACGAUCGCAAGAUUGAAACUCAAAUGAAUUGACGGGG